rnacentral:rRNA from 1 species
UAGGGAAUCUUCGGCAAUGGACGAAAGUCUGACCGAGCAACGCCGCGUGAGUGAAGAAGGUUUUCGGAUCGUAAAACUCUGUUGGUAGAGAAGAACGUUGGUGAGAGUGGAAAGCUCAUCAAGUGACGGUAACUACCCAGAAAGGGACGGCUAACUACGUGCCAGCAGCCGCGGUAAUACGUAGGUCCCGAGCGUUGUCCGGAUUUAUUGGGCGUAAAGCGAGCGCAGGUGGUUUAUUAAGUCUGGUGUAAAAGGCAGUGGCUCAACCAUUGUAUGCAUUGGAAACUGGUAGACUUGAGUGCAGGAGAGGAGAGUGGAAUUCCAUGUGUAGCGGUGAAAUGCGUAGAUAUAUGGAGGAACACCGGUGGCGAAAGCGGCUCUCUGGCCUGUAACUGACACUGAGGCUCGAAAGCGUGGGGAGCAAACAGGAUUAGAUACCCUGGUAGUCCACGCCGUAAACGAUGAGUGCUAGAUGUAGGGAGCUAUAAGUUCUCUGUAUCGCAGCUAACGCAAUAAGCACUCCGCCUGGGGAGUACGACCGCAA